GGGGAUGUAGCUCAGAUGGUAG
rnacentral:ncRNA from 3 species